UUUCCGUAGGUGAACCUGCGGAAGGAUCAUUAUUGUAUAACCGAGGUGCGAGGGCUGUCGCUGACCCGAAAGGUCGUGCACGCCCGAGUGCCCUCGCACACAUCCAUCUCACCCCUAUGUGCACCACCGCGUGGGUCACCCUUUGGCUUGUUCGGAGGGGGGCUUACGUUUUCACACAAACUUUGUAUGCAGUGUAGAAUGUAUUUUUUGUUUUUGCGAUCACGCAAUCAAUACAACUUUCAACAACGGAUCUCUUGGCUCUC
rnacentral:misc_RNA from 1 species